rnacentral:rRNA from 1 species
UGGGGAAUAUUGGACAAUGGGCGCAAGCCUGAUCCAGCCAUGCCGCGUGUGUGAAGAAGGCCUUAUGGUUGUAAAGCACUUUAAGCGAGGAGGAGGCUACUUUAGUUAAUACCUAGAGAUAGUGGACGUUACUCGCAGAAUAAGCACCGGCUAACUCUGUGCCAGCAGCCGCGGUAAUACAGAGGGUGCAAGCGUUAAUCGGAUUUACUGGGCGUAAAGCGCGCGUAGGCGGCUAAUUAAGUCAAAUGUGAAAUCCCCGAGCUUAACUUGGGAAUUGCAUUCGAUACUGGUCAGCUAGAGUAUGGGAGAGGAUGGUAGAAUUCCAGGUGUAGCGGUGAAAUGCGUAGAGAUCUGGAGGAAUACCGAUGGCGAAGGCAGCCAUCUGGCCUAAUACUGACGCUGAGGUACGAAAGCAUGGGGAGCAAACAGG